AUCAUCUUUCAUCCUUUAAAAUCUUUAAAAGAACCUAUCAUCCUAAACUCUCAACCUAUUAUCCUCUCACUUUUCUUGACAAAUUUCUUGUAUCAUGACCUUGUUUCCGCAGAAACGUCUUUCCUCUCACCUUUCUUGACAAAUUUAGACACAUAUAAUUUUUUCCCGUCAAGCAACUUAUCAAGCAUUAAUAGCAGCAGCUUUCUUCCACCACCUUGCAAGAGAGUAUAUUGCCAAACUUGCAGAAAAUGUCUUGAAGGGAAAAAUUAUAUGUGUCCAAAUGUGUAAGUGAAUAAUCUGGGUGAAGAUUUGACAGAGGAUACAAUUCGAGGUAAGCUCUCUGAGUUUGGAAAAGUUGGCAUUGAUGUUAUCAUGAAGGAUGGCAAUGGGAAAUCCAGAGGGUUUAGUUUUGUGUACUUUGAGUUGCCAGAUGAGGCUAAGAAGGCUGUGGAGGCCUCACUGGUGCAAUCCUAAGGUGAAAGAAGUCGUUUCUUGGAAGGGCUCAGAAAAAAGCUGAAAGGUAGGAUCUUCCAAAACAUGAAAAUUGCAAGAAUCUGUAUGCGAAGAAUCUUUGAUGACGAGGAAUAAAAUCGGGAAGCAGAGAAUAUUUUCCAAGAAACAUGGAAGCUUCUUGGAAUCUUCGCAUACACGUCAUCAUCAAUUUUCCAAGAAUAUUUUUUCCUCACACACAGGGUGGCGUGGGGCGCGUGGUGGUCCUGGCCUGAUUAUCUGGCUCACUACUACGGGGGCUUUGGGCUCCGAUUGGGCUGAAAUUGUAAAGCCCAACGAUCGACUAUAAAAACUAAAGAGUGAGUUUUUUUUAUUGUUUUGCUUUUUGAUGAGUGUUGGGGUUUUCCUUUUUGAUGGGUGUUGAAUGAAGAGUACAGGCAUUAGGUUUUUUUGUGUUUGAGGAUGAUGGGUGAAGGCGGUUUUUAGGGUUUUGUACGAUCUUAUUCCAUAUUAAAAUAAAGAUGAUAGACGAAGACGGUAGAAUUUUUCUGUUAGGGUUUCUCGACGUUGGGUGAGGACGAUAGGAUUUUCUAUAGGAAUUUUUUGGGCAUGCUUUAGGAUUUUUCAGGAAUGGAUCGGGCUUGACGCAAGGAAAGGGUUCAUGAUGGUUGGCACAUUUGACACAGUAGAACCCUCCUUUUAUAGAAAGUCGGGAGGAGGUUAACAGCAAUUGUUGAGAAAUAUCAGGGAACUGAUGAUCAUCCAUCCCAACGAAGUCCUAUGCAAACCCUGUAUUUCAUAAUGAACCCUUUAUUAGUGAUUUGGGUAUUAACAUCUGCAGCUUGGUCUAUUACUCUCAAUGAUCCGAGUUUGAUUAGCAUGGUGGGAUAAGUUUAUUUGGAAUGCUAACAGGAGUUGUUUUUUUGGGCUUCCAAUUGAUGUUGUUUUUGCAGGAAGUGAUAUGAUGUAUUAUGCAGAAUGUGAUAAGAUUAAGAGUUACAUAUAAUGAUGAGUUUCGUUGUUACCUUUUUUUCUUCUUUUUCCUCAAUAUGGAGCAUUUUGUCCCUUGUAUGAGUGCUUUUUGUCGGAUAUCAUAAAGCCUAAUCAAGGGACAUUUGAUUUUUAGAAUUCUUUCUUUCAUAAAAGAAUGGCAUAGAGAUACUGAUUUUUUAAAUCAUCUCUUCCUUUUAAAGAAUAAAAUGGAAUUGUAUUUGAAUGCUUUUUUUCGGAUAUCGUAAAGCCUAAUCAAGGGACAUUUGAUUCUUGGAAUUAUUUCUUUCAUAAAAGAAUGACAUUAUAGAUACUGAUUUUUUAAAUCAUCUCUUCCCUUUGAAGAACAAAAUGGAAUUUAAGUUUUUUUGUAUUUGAACUUAAUUUUUUUUAUUUGAAAGAUUGAUUUGAGAAGUGUUCAUUUACAAUAGCUUGUAUUUGAACAAAGUGACAUUAUAGAUACUCAUUUGAAAUAAGAAUAAGUGGAGUUAUGUGGUAACAAAUUCUUAUUUAUUUAUUUUCUAUUGAAUAUCAUGUUUUUGGGGCUGUUACAUUUAUGUCUCUGAGCACUCUUCUUUAUGACAUGGACAUCAAUUUGCCUCAACUCAAUUUUUUUGAUUUCUGGUUUCAUAAGAAAGGGUCAGAGUGAGGACAUUACAUUAAAAUAGGUCAGUUUUUUUAAUUCUUAUUUUAUUUUGUUAAUUUUUAAAUCAAAACAUGGCUAAUCUAGUUGUCUAGCUCACAAAUUGAAGAGCUUUUACUAUUCUUUGGGUUACCAAUGUUUGAUUUGUGAAAACCUUAACUAUGAGGUUUUUGGAAAUAAGUAAAUAAAUAACUUGUCUAUGAAGAGCUUUUUUUUUUCUCUCACUUUCCUUUGGAUUACCAAGGUUUGGUUUGUGAAGAUUUUGUCUAUGAAGUUUUUGUAAAUAAAUAAGUAAAAAUGUAUGUGGGGUUUGCACUAUGGUUUAUAAGUAAAAAGUGGUAUCUUGCCCGGGAAUUGUAUAUUGACUUGGUCAUGUGCCAUUUGUAUUUUAGGCAGCUUGUGUUUUGUUCAAGAAUUCUUUGAUUAAUUUGUUAUGUUAUUAUUGCUUCCUUUUCCCACUAAUGAUCAUCCAUCCCAAUAAAAAAUAUGUGUGAAUAAUUUUUUGCUGAGGAGUUGUGGUUCCUACAAUAAUGAGUUAUAUUAUGAGGUUGGGUUCAAUGAGGUUGUGGGCAGUCUUAAAAUGCAACUGUAUUUUUAUUUUGCUUUGAUUGAGCUUGGUCUGUUGACCUGAAACUCAAUUUUCUAUUGUAGCUUGGUGACUUACUCUGUAGGGAAUAAAAAUGUUGAACAAGGUUCCCACCAGGAUUCCUCUUAUGUAAACUAUGCCCAUGAAUUAAUAUUCAAAUUGACCACAAAAGAAGGGGGAAAAAAGAAGCACUAAUGCACAAUGGUAGAGCCAGCUAUUCUACUGUUAUCCACUACAUUAGGAUUUUGGUUAGAUUUGCAUGUUGUGCAAGGAUGUCCGUCAUUUUUAAUCAAUAGACAUGUUUCAGAUACAGAAAAAGAAAAACCCUCCUAGUUUAUGUAAGGAUGGUGGGAUAGGAUUGUUUAGGGUGCUAACAAAACUGUUUGUUUUUUGACUUAUUGUUUUUGUGAUUUUUCUAAGAAAUAGUAUGAUGGGGGGCCAUGGGGUUUAAUAAGUUCAGAGCUACAGAAUAUAAAAUAAGUGUGUUUUUUCUUUUUCUUAUUUUGCCUUAAAUGUGAAUUUGGCGAUUGAUUUAAUCAGUGUUUGUUUUCAACAGCCUUAAUGUGGGAAUAUUUCUCUCAUUUUUUAUUAAGAUGUCAUAAUACUAAAUAGGAGAGAUGAAUUUAUUUAGUCCUAAGAAAGGAUCUUGUUAUUUUGUUACAGAGUUUUUCAGGAAACUGGCAUUUGAAUUAUGUUUUUUGGGUUCAAUUUCUUUGUAUGAGACCUUGUCUACUUGUGAGUCUUUAAAGAGUGCAGAAUUUGAAUAUAUCAACAGCCAUGAUUCUUUUGCAGUUAAUUCUAUCGAGAGGAAGAUAGGUACCAGUCUCCCAAGUUUGAGAGCAUGUGGAAAUAACCGGUUUCUUCUUCUAACAAAUUUCUAACUUUUCUAACCCACUUCAUUUGGCAGCUGGAUGGGCUUUCUCCUUGGCUGUUUUGUUUGAUAGUAGGCAUGUUUAUUAUACAAAUUUAUUUCUUUCAUUAAACUCAUGGUAAUUAAAAUGUUGUCCAUGACAUCUUGCUUAUCUUUUUGUGGCUGCAAAUAUUAGAAUAUAUUAUUGUGGCCUUACUAAUUUAGUUUCUGUAAUUUUUAUAUCAAGGAAUAUCUACAAGGGAGAUCUUGCGGUGGAAACAAUUUACAAGAUUGUGAAGGUUGAUAACAAUUUCUUGGAUCCACGGUUUGUGCAACCAUUGAUUGUGAUAUCUACCAUCACUUGCAUGCAUACAAAUGUUAAGACACCUCUUUUGCAUUUUAAAUGUAUGUGCUAUUUUGUUCCCAUACAUUGUUCACUGCAUCAGUAUUGCUAGGCAAACACGUGUCCUAACUUAUUAAUUAUUCAGUACAUCAAUAUUGCUAGGGAAACACAUAUCGAAACUAAUUCAUUUCUCGUGGACUUGCGGUUUCCUAUAAAAUCACCCUUCAGAAUUUUCGAACUGACCCAGCUAUUAAAAGCUUUGUUGCUUUCAUAGGUUCGGGUGGAAAAACAACCUCAUAUGUGCUUUGCAAAAUUUGAUUACUAGAGAGGCAAGGCUAGAAAGUUUGCAUUCGUCUAUAAUCUUUGACUCCACAAAUGGAUGAAAUGCAUUAUAUAGACUCUCUACUCCACUGAGUUCUACAAAACUUGACCAUGUAGAAGGUAGGUAAAACCAACAGAAGCAGCUAAACUAUCCCAAGUGCCUAGAGAAGACCAACUGAGGUGUGCCAUACAAUGAAUCCAACUGAUCCUUGGGGUAUUAGGCAUAAUGUUUGAAUUAUCUGCUGAUUUCUAACUUAUCAAUGCCAUUAAAAAGUUAUCUUCCAUUUCCAUCUGCUUAAAGGUAUGUGUAAUUACUACUCUACUAUCAUUUGCUGCUUCAACAUUUACUCCUAUUUUUAAGUGGACUCAGUGUUGCUAAAUUUGAGCUUUCAAACAUCUUUAAACACCUUUACACUCCUUCAUAAACCAUAAUUCUGCUUUUUUAUUUGUCAUUACUUAACCAAUGCUUCAAAUUACAUGCUUACCUUGCUUUGCUUCACAAAUUUGUUAUCUUCAACUUUGUUUUUGGACUAAAAUUACCAACCUAAUCUAGCCAUGCUAACACCACUAAGAAUUAUGUUUUUGAAUUAUGCAACCUAAGCCGUCAUGAUAAGGAACUUGCCUGCAGCCAUCCUAAGAUAGAAUAUUUAAUUGAAUUGAACAUAUAAAAACUAUUCCAUUCCUACAACACUAUUUAAAACCCUACCAAAAUAUGAUGAGAUACUCAUUAUUGACUAGCAAAUAGAAUAUAAUUAAGAAAUAUGCACUAGUAUAUGCAUGCAUGUACCUGUGUACAUUGUACUAAAAAUAAUCUAGAUUUUGUGUGCCUAUAUAUAUAUGGAGCAUUUGAAAAGACAAUAAAUAGAUUGCUUGUAUGGUGUACUUACAUUUGUAUAAAGGAUUUGCUUAUUUUAGAGUGUGAAAAUGCUCAUGAAGCUCUGCUAAAAUUGCAGCAUCUGCAUUCCAUAUCUUGGUUCAAUUUUCUUGCAUUUUCUUUCUCCAUGACUUCUUUGUUGUUGCAAUGCUAUUGUUUGCCUGCUACUGGCCAUCUGGUAAAGCCAAACGCGGUUCAUUUCGCAUGAAACUUUAGAAGAAUAUUCCAUUCGAUUUUACAUGGGGAACAUCGUUAUGGAGUGGGAUUUUGAAUCCAAGCAUUGGAUUUUUGCAUUUUGGUAAAGGUGCAAAUUUAUGAAGAACCACUUGAAGAUCAAGAGAAGUUCUAGAGCAAUUGUUUUUAUUUUAUAUUAAUUUUUUUUCCCGACGUAUGUUAAUUCAAGUUAUAUGGAUUAUUGUAACUUAAAAAUACUUUAUCAUAGAAAUUAUGAUAAAAAAUUGUAUAAACAGCUUAGGUUGUAGGAUGAUUAAUAAAUUUAUUAUGCUUUUACUUGUGUA